AUUGAACGCUGGCGGCAGGCCUAACACAUGCAAGUCGAACGAGUGGCGGACGGGUGAGUAAUGUCUGGGAAACUGCCCGAUGGAGGGGGAUAACUACUGGAAACGGUAGCUAAUACCGCAUACCAUCGGAUGUGCCCAGAUGGGGUUAGCUAGUAGGUGGGGUAACGGCUCACCUAGGCGCCGAUCCCUAGCUGGUCUGAGAGGAUGACCAGCCACACGGGAACUGAGAUACGGGCCAGACUCAUACGGGAGGCAGCAGUGGGGAAUAGUGCAAAAGGGGCGCAAGCCUGAUGCAGCCAUGCCGCGUGUAUGAAGAAGGCCUUCGGGGUGUAAAGGACUUUCAGCGAGGAGGCGUUACUCGCAGAAGAAGCACCGGCUAACUCCGUGCCAGCAGCCGCGGUAAUAC
rnacentral:rRNA from 1 species